GAUGAAGAACGCAGCGAAAUGCGAUAAGUAAUGUGAAUUGCAGAAUUCAGUGAAUCAUCGAAUCUUUGAACGCACAUUGCGCCCCCUGGUAUUCCGGGGGGAAUGCCUGUCCGAGCGUCAUUACAACCCUCAAGCUCAGCUUGGUGUUGGGCCCCACCGCCCCGGCGGGCCCUAAAGUCAGUGGCGGUGCCGUCCGGCUCCGAGCGUAGUAAUUCUUCUCGCUCUGGAGGUCCGGUCGUGUGCUCGCCAGCAACCCCCAAUUUUUUUCAGGUUGACCUCGGAUCAGGUAGGGAUACCCGCUGAACUUAAGCAUAUCAAUAAGCGGAGGA
rnacentral:misc_RNA from 1 species